rnacentral:rRNA from 1 species
GGAUGUGAUCAUACCAGCACUAAAGCAUCGGAUCCCAUUACAACUCCGAAGUUAAGCGUGCAUGGGCGAGAGUAGUACUAGGAUCGGUGACCUCCUACGAAGUCCUCGCGUUGCAUCCC